UACAGAGGUCCCAAGCGUUGUUCGGAUUCACUGGGCGUAAAGGGUGCGUAGGCGGUCGGGUAAGUCUGGCGUGAAAUCUCCAAGCCUAACUUGGAAACUGCGUUGGAUACUAUCCGGCUCGAGGAAUGGAGGGGAGACUGGAAUACUUGGUGUAGCAGUGAAAUGCGUAGAUAUCAAGUGGAACACCAGUGGCGAAGGCGGGUCUCUGGACAUUUCCUGACGCUGAGGCACGAAAGCCAGGGGAGCAAACGGG
rnacentral:rRNA from 1 species